AUUGAACGCUGGCGGCAGGCCUAACACAUGCAAGUCGAACGAGUGGCGGACGGGUGAGUAAUGUCUGGGAAACUGCCUGAUGGAGGGGGCUAACUACUGGAAACGGUAGCUAAUACCGCAUACCAUCGGAUGUGCCCAGAUGGGAUUAGCUAGUAGGUGGGGUAAAGGCUCACCUAGGCGACGAUCCCUAGCUGGUCUGAGAGGCGGACGAGCCAAGCUGGGACUGAGACACGGUACAGACUCAUACGGGAGGCAGCAGGGGGGAAUAUUGCACGAUGGAGGCAAGCCUGAUGCAGCCAUGCCGCGUGUAUGAUGACGGCCUUCGGGUUGUAAAGUACUUUCAGCGGGGAGGCGUUACCCGAAGAAGAAGCACCGGCUAACUCCGUGCCAGCAGCCGCGGUAAUAC
rnacentral:rRNA from 1 species